GACGGAGGGGGCAAGCGUUGUUCGGAUUCAUUGGGCGUAAAGGGUGCGUAGGCGGUGCCGUAAGUCGGAUGUGAAAUCUCGGGGCUCAACCCUGAAACUGCAUUCGAUACUGCGGUGCUAGAGGACUCUAGAGGAAACUGGAAUUCACGGUGUAGCAGUGAAAUGCGUAGAUAUCGUGAGGAAGACCAGUGGCGAAGGCGGGUUUCUGGGAGAGUUCCUGACGCUGAGGCACGAAGGCCAGGGGAGCAAACGGGG
rnacentral:rRNA from 1 species